GCCCCGGUGGUGUAGCCAGGUCAAGCAUACCGGCCUCUCGAGCCGGUGAACCCGGGUUCAAAUCCCGGCCGGGGCA
rnacentral:tRNA from 1 species